rnacentral:rRNA from 1 species
CGCGUAGGUGGUUUGAUAAGCGAGAUGUGAAAGCCCCGGGCUUAACCUGGGAACGGCAUUUCGAACUGUCAGGCUAGAGUAUGGUAGAGGAGUGUGGAAUUUCCUGUGUAGCGGUGAAAUGCGUAGAUAUCGAACGGAACGCCAAAGGGGUAGCCAGGCAGCUGGGCCAUUUCUGACGCUGAGGCACGAAAGCGUGGGUAGCAAACA